rnacentral:misc_RNA from 1 species
GUGAGUCAUCGAAUCUUUGAACGCACAUUGCGCCCGCCAGUAUUCUGGCGGGCAUGCCUGUCCGAGCGUCAUUUCAACCCUCGAACCCCUCCGGGGGGUCGGCGUUGGGGAUCGGCUCCCUCUAAACCGGGUGCCGUCUCCGAAAUACAGUGGCGGUCUCGCCGCAGCCUCUCCUGCGCAGUAGUUUGCACACUCGCAUCGGGAGCGCGGCGCGUCCACGUCCGUAAAACAACCCAAACUUCUGAAAUGUUGACCUCGGAUCAGGUAGGAAUACCCGCUGAACUUAAGCAUAUCAAUAAGCGGAGGA